CUGUUGGCUUAUCACCCCCAUUCAUUAACAGUUAACUAAGAUAAUUAACAUUUCCAUCAAAAUUAAGAGAACGUUUAACAAAUUAUAAUAUUCAAUAAUUAGCAUCCUAGAUUAGUAGCAGACUCCUAAUUCAAGAACAAGAAUUACGAUCAUCAUCAUCCUCACCAUCUCGAUCCUCAUUGUCGUCUCUAGGAGAAUGCAAAGGGAAUAGAGGCAACAACUCAGGAGGCUCUGCUCCUCUUGGAGUACUCAAGGGGCUUGGAUGCAGAUAAAACCCUUUUUCAGCAAUGGCUUUCUCUUCCUCAUCUCUAGGACUCCCACGGGAACAAAACUCUUCGCAGGGUGACUUAGGGCUCGUGCGCGCACCAAAAAAGUCCAAAGUUGACACCGGCGACACCAAGAAACCAGCUCGCUGUCUGAACUGGAAGAGGUCAGGAUGCUCGAAGCUGUUGUUGAUGGUAGAAUUGCUGUUAAGGUUGAUUUGCAGGUUCUUGGCGCUUUGUCUCCUUUCAUGAAGCUUGAAUGCAGGUCUUUUAGGGCCUGGAAUUGCAGAGGGUCGAUUUGGGUGGGUGAUUGGGAGCUUUUGGGUUGAUAGGUCGUCGGGCGCUCCAGUGAGUUUUUGGACAAUGGUUCGGAAGGUGGCCGGGUCAGCUUGGACGAAGGUGGUGUUAGGCGAGGACGGGUCAGAUCCAUAGGAGGGUGGACUGUGGUGCAUGGUGGUGGUGAUAUUGUUAUUAGAAGUGGAAGCCAUGAGAGAGAUAAUGGGCAAAUACUUCGGUUUGGAGGAAAUGAAAGAGGGACUGCUUGUUAUAUUUCCAC
rnacentral:misc_RNA from 1 species